CUCUCCCAUCCAUUCCAUGUCCGCCACUACCAGCAACUCACCAUCUACCUCAAGAGGUAUCCUCCCGAUCCAGAUCCACCCAGUCCAACUGCAGCCGACUACCAUCGCCUCUGUUUUCGUGCCCGACCAAGCCCCGGCUUCCCCGAGCAGCCUCACACGCCAAAGCCCCGAGCACCUGCUGGCCCCGCAAGCAGCAGCAGUUCCCGCAUCUCAGGCGAGCAGAAGCCACCUCCGGCAGGCCGUCCCACUUCCCCGCUGUCCUCGUCUGUCCGUCGUGCCGCCAGCAACCAACCCGCCGGAGCACCGCCGACCUUCCUCCGCCGUCAAGCACCAGCAAGCCGGGCUCCCCCUAUACUUCUUCCCCGAGCCGAUCGAACCAGCCUCUGCCUCCUCGCCAAGUACCAGUAGCAGGAAGCCCCGAGGAUGCAUCCCUUGAGCAGGGGAGCAGGCCCAUCGUCGUGCCCUCUGACAUGGAACUCGCGCCCUGCGCUGGCUCUGCGUCUUGCCGUCACGCCGCCGCUGGAGCACCGUUAGAGCUUCAUGGUCUCCGCCACCUUCAACCAUUGCCCACGUCCCGAUCCGAGUCAUCCACGCCAGGUCCUCCGUCCCCGCAGCGACGCCACGUCGGAGCCGUGCCAUCCCACCGCUCGCCGGAGUCCCUACGCCGUCGCUGCCUUCUAUCGAAUGCGAGCUCGAUCCCGUGCUUCCCUGCAUCGAAGGAACCAGGCGCGUUGACUGCGCCUGGGCCGGCCUCGCCUAGGCCCACUCGCCUCGCCUUCUGUAGCCCAACAUCACUGACCGGGUCAAGACCCCAUGGUGAGCCUCUAGUGCACGUAUGCUCCUGAUGGGCCAGCCAAAUUCGGCCAGUUAUGUUUUUUUUAUUGUCAAGACGAUUUUUCUAAUUAAUCCAGAGACUGCUGUUUACAGAUUGACCCCUAAUGUUCAUGCAUAUAAUAACUC